CCAGCGCCCAGCCACCCUCUGGGUGAAGAACCUCUUGCUAAUAUCCAACCUAACCUCCCCUGACACAACUGCAGGCCAUUCCCUCUGGCCCUGUCACUGUCAUUGGAGAGAAGAGAUCCUGCCCCUCCUCUUCCCCUCAGGGGGAAGUUGUAACUGCGAUGAGGUCUCCCCUCAGUCUCCUCUUCCAGCUGAAAAAGCUGUGACCUCAGCCACUCCUUGCAUGGCUUCCCCUCUGGGCCCCUCACCAUCUUCACAGCCCUCCUUUAGAUGCUCUCUAAUAACUUUAUAUCUUAUAUACCAGCACCCAGAACACAGUACUUGAGCAUCCAUGGCCUGUUUAGAUCCUAAUGAGUGAUUUUUAAGCUAAAAUGUUCUAGUUUCAGUUUCAGCUUCGCCUGAUGCAUCUUAUUUAUUCCUCUAAAGAUUAGUAAUUAAAAAAAAUAAAAAUAAAAAUUGUUGUGUAAAAAAAAUACAGAGUAAGCAGGACAACCAGAGCUCUUAGUAUUUACCUCUGGUAUAGAAUCAUUAUAGGACAUGAGAAAGUGUUCAUUAGAAAUUACCUUUCUUCUGCAGAGGCAGGUAUUGCUGUUAAGCACAUAAUGAAAUACAAGAGCACUUUGUCUCCAGGCCCAUUAAUGAGCUUUUGGUGGUGCUACAUCAGCACUUGCUUUGUUUUAGUGAUGUGCUGGUUUUUAACAAGGCCCUGGCAUGCUGCCAUUAACUUGGUUUUAUGUCUCUUUGGUGUGUUCAUAGCCGCAGGCCAGAUGGUUUCAGCAUUACAUUCUUCCUCUAAUGUGAAAGCUGAUCACGGUGCUCCAAAUUACCUUAAUUCCACAUGCUAUAUAUAUUUUGUUGUGUAUCACUGUGUGUUCAGCAUUAGUCAUUUCAGCUGAAACCAAACCUAGGAAAUUUUGCAUUUUGGAAUUAGGCAGCAGGUAGAGCUGGUGACUGAGCACAGCUGUCAAUGGGGCUGUUACUCUCUUGGGAAGCCUCAGCUGCCACUGGACUUGUAGGACAGGGUAGAGCAAUUGAUUUGAAAAAUUCCAUUUCAAUGUUUAGUGCAUGAUUAAAUGGUAAACUAGCCUGGGAGAUGUGUGGAGACAGUGCAGCGGUUUCUACUACCACAGCCUUUAGGUGUUUCCCCUUCUUCUAGGAUCUUUUGCAAAAACAAGCAAACAAAACUCCUGUUGAUGGGCCUGUGAUGAGUCUGAUGUGAUGGGCAGGGAAAUGCCUGGUAAUGUCAAAUGCAAAGCUCCAGUUCUUCAUCCUCUUCCUCAUUUGGGCAAAUUAACUUUACAGCUUUCACUCAUGCUUGGCUGGUGGGAUAAUACUUCUCAUGCUGCUCUGAUUAACUUCAUGGCUGCUCUCUUGCCCACUCUUAAAUGCGUAUCUGGAUUUGAGAACUCCAGAAAUGAGCUCUCAGUGAGGCAAGGCAGUGUGAACACAGGAACUAUGUGGGAACUACUUCUGCUGCACCCAGAAGAGGGUAGGACUGUAAAAAGUUGUUAGUGGCAUAUAUCUAGGAGACAAGAGGUUUUUUGGUGAAACAAGAGUCUUGAAAAAGUAAGAAUUUAUUUAACAGAAGCUAAUCUGUGGUUGUGGCUGAGCAAUGCAGUAAAAUGCAGUCUCAUGAGCAUAGAAAAAAUGAUAACAAGACAGAGACAUCAGCAGCUGGGAGCAGUAUUGCUGGUGCUCACAGUUUGCUGUAGCAGCCAGUAGUGCCUAGACAAGAGAGUAUAACCAAGACAAGGGGUUCCACAUUCUUCUGUAGCUUAAGCUCAUUGUAUACAAAAAGGUCCCUUCCUUUCUUCAUUCCAGGAGGAAAUAAUUAAACUGGCAGGUAGAGAAAUGACAUUAGGAAAAACAAACAUGUCUUAAGCUGCAUGUUCCAUGAGAAUUAUUUUUUUUCUAUUUUAGAUUUUUUUAAAAGUUACUGUAAAUUUUGAACAAAUUUAAAUCUUUUCCAAACAUUGCAGAUGGGAUGUUAUUGUGGGAGGACCCAAAAUCCUGGGGGAAUUUAAUGAAUUGCAAAAUCUCCUCUUUAGGCUAACAGUGGCUAUGUCUUAGAUUUCAUAUGUCAUGUAGAAAAUUGAGCAGUCUGAAUUUUAAAAAAUUUAGGGAUGCACCCAUUUGCUUAUUCCAUAAGCUAUCAAGUGAGCUGAUUUGUACACCAGCCUUAUUUCUGACAACUGCUUUGAAUUCAUUCAUUCAUUGUGGCAAAACCCUCUAUUACCCUCCCUUCCAUGUUUUAGAGAACAUUUAUCUUACCCACAGCAGGAAUUUAUACAAUCCUGCUGCUUUUGUUUUGCAAGUGGUUUAGAAACAGUUUUGUUCCAAUCUGUCUCUAGCACCAUUAAAACUGCAUUUGGUCUUUUUAGCUUUUCUAGAAACUUCUGAAAAGAAGAACUUAGCUCUGUGAAGCAGAAGUGGUGUGAACUGUUACCAUACAGAUUUUCAAGGAAAAUUCCAGUAACUACCAGAUUGGAUUGUGGCCGCAGUGGAAAUUUACAAAUGACCAGAGUCAAUCAUCUUGCAAUCCCAUAAAGAGUGGCUCUAAGUGAGACUCUUUGGGAUCCCCUGGGCUGCAGCACAUCUUGCUCUGAGUGGGACAUCUCUAGAGCUCAACAACUCGCAAGUUUGUGAUACUCAGAGGACCACUGACGACAGGGCCUGGGCUGAUACCCCCACUCCUCAAGGCUCAACUCCUCAGCUGUUGAGAGAUGUGAAGGCAUCUGACGUGAGUACUUCACUGAACUCAAGGGGAAUUUUUCACAGGUAUAUCUUUGUACAUGUUUCUUUGUAUGUGUGCGUGCACAUGUGAAUUGAUUUUAAUGUGAUACAGCAAACGUACUAUGAGUGUUGCCAUUCCACAUUCAGAGUUAAAUUCGAUUCAUAAUUAAGCUCUUGUUGUGCUUAUAGCAAAUCCUAUCGGAUCAUUUUGUAAAUAUUAAGUUAAUCAGUGAUUAGGUUGUACUACAUUCCUGGGACAUAAACCAUUGAUCAAGUCUGAUACUAAGUUUAGCAAGGGGAUCUACUCUGAACCUCAUGACUCAACAAAAGAGGCCCCUUUGCCCUUUGGCACCCUUGCCUUUCUCCAUCCUUACACUUUUGGAUCCCCAGUCUAUGCAUAAAUCAUUCUAGAUUGGUUCUAAUCUGAUUUUCCUUUGUGUGCUUUAUCUGAGUAACAGUGGUAGAGUGAACCUUGCCAUUGAACUUUACUGUGCUUUUGCAAAUUUAUGUGAUACAUAUAAAUUUAUAAAUUUAAAAGAUACAUAUUUAUCUUGCUUUUGCUGAUACCUUUGCCAGUAAUUCUGUAAGCAGCUCAGACCACUCAUUUGCAACAAACUUCAGUGGGAGAGGGUGGCUUCCAGGGAAGUUAUGAUGGCACAAAGGUUUUAAAACCACUAUAGGAGCAGAAGAAAUAACUAUGUGCUCUGCUUGCAGAAUGAGAGAGAGAGAUUUGCACUGAGCUGCUGUAGUUUCUGGGAUGAAGAGCAGAGUUUUGUGAAGGACCAUCUUUCCUAACCCUUAACCAAAAGGAAGCAGGUGCUGUGGAUGGCUGGCCUCCCACCAGAGCUGUUCAAGAUAGUAGUGAGAAAAAAACAAAGUCUUUGGAGGUCAAAAAAUGGAAUAUAUUACCACUUUAAAGGUAGCUACAAGGUUUUUGAGAACAGUUAUACAUGUGUAGUUCAGCUUUGAUUUUUAAAUGUAACAAAAAAUGAGGUGUGGUUUUGCCAGUGUGUAAACUGGAUAAUCUGAUAGUCCUUCUUUGUCUGUGAACAGACAGUAUUUAACCUGAGAGAAGAAAAGUACUUGUGGAUACCCUUCAUGAACACUGACAGAUCAUUCAAAUGCACUGAACAGAAGCAACUGGGUGUGGGACCAGGCACUGAACGGGCCCCCAAGGAGUUCUGUAGGCAGUGAAAGUCAGUGGAGUACAGGGAAUAACAUCAAGGAACUCUAGGUUUUUGCCUGUGAGCAGUUUUAGCUAAUUAGAGCAUACAGACAUUUUCCCUUUAUAAUGACCUUGCUCAAGUAAGAUGCAAGGAGCAUUUCAAGGACUAUUAGACUCUGGUUUUAUAUUCACAACAUACUUGGGGGAAAGGUGGCUAGAGAAUUUUACAAUUCAGUCUAACACCAAAGACUGCAGACAGUAAAUAACAGGAGAUCUAUACAGCCAUCUACUUCCUCUUGCUGCAGCAUAAGGCUUCCUCACAGUUAACAUUCUGGUGCUUUGCCACAAAAUUACAGUGUCAGUUUCAGAUGUCCUGUCCAUUGGCACCCGUCGAAUCACAGGACUUGUUCUCCUAUCGACCCCUCCCUUGCUGUGAGGAAUGGGUUGUGCCGAUCCCUCUGUUUGCUCACGUGGCACCUUUUCUUGUACUCCAAGUCCUUCACCUUCCAUCCCUAAAAGUUACAUCCUCAGAUAUUUCCAAAGUGUUAUCAUGCCUCUGUAGCUAUUUUUAGCUUGAUAAUAUAUACCUUGAACUUAGGAUUUUUUUCCUGGAAGGUUUCUCCAUUCCUAUUCCUGGAUAAUUCAUUCUCUCCUGGGUGAUUUUCAUGCAACUGUCUUCAAUUUGUAACAAAGUGGCUGAACUGGAAUGCAGUGUUUUAAAUGACACUUUCAAAUGGAGACAGGUUUUUAUUUCUUUCUAUGCAAUCUGACGCUCUGCAUUGCUAAUGUCUUCCACAUUUAUCAUCCUCUGGGCAAAAUAUUUAUCUUUGUUUCUUUUAGCAUAGCUGCAUUCCUGGUUUUAACUUCUCUAGUAUAGAUUAGCUUGCAUUUUCUGAGUAUUUUCACUUUUCAUUUCUUACCAGCCUUCAAAUUAUUUCUCUGCAACUAUGGGAGAAAGUUCCAAAUUUUUAAUUGUUGUCAUCAAAAUGAAUACUGAGCUGGGAGGUACUGCAGAGCCCUCAGCAAGAAAACUCUGACAUUUAACUCCUUAUGUCUUAAUUUACUGUGUGGCCAUUUCUAUUGUAGAGCAUUCUAAUGCAGCACUGGUUAUUACUUAAUGUCACUAGAGAAAAUGUGCUCUUCCUCUACAUUGUCUUAUUUGGUCUCCCUAAACUGAAAAAUUAUACAUUUAUCAGUUUUUUCAUAUCUGUGUUCCAAGUUCAGUGUGAGAAGUGGUAACUGCAGUAAAUAUGGAAGGAAGAGCCUGAACUCCAGUGAAAAUCAAAAGUUUUGAUCUCUGCUGUACUUCUAUGUGUCAAUUGUGCCUCCAUUUCUUUUUCUCAAGAGAUUGUUUAGAGCUGUGUAUGAAUGGAAAUGUGCACAGAGCUUGCUAAAAAAUAAAAAGAUGGGAUCUGCAAGUGUUA